AGCUGUGAAGGGAGGCUUCAUGCUGCCGAUCAGAGCUUGUGUGCAAGCAGGAGGGGGCAGGGAUCUCUCAGCUAGGCAAAUGGAAGCCUCCCUUCGCAGCUGAGGGAUCCCUGCCCCCCUCCUGCUUGCACGCAAGUAGGAAUUGGAAUGGGGCUGCUCUGAAAGGCAGUGUGAAGUCUCCCUUCCCAGCU